ACUACUCAGGAAACAUUUACAUUUAAAAUAUGUGCUAAGGAGCACUAGAGUUUUCAAACAAAAAGCAAAAUUUUCAUAACCGUAUCAGAGAUAAUAUGAAUUUUUUGAAAAGAAAUUCUAUUCACUGCUUUCCGGGGCUAUUUUCUGCAUAUAAAAAGUCAGUUGCAAAGGCAGGGGGCAUUCGUCGUCGUCGUGCAAUCAGGACGUGCAUAUUUUCCUUGAAUGCAAACGGAAAGGUUUGCCUGAUUUCGAUGCUGGGCGAAGCUGCAACGUCACUAGGCGACAAGGGUGGCGACAAAAGCACUGUAAAGAAUGCUGACUGAUGGUGACGUCCUUAGAACUGUGAAACUCAAUUCAAUUUACAUUAUUUGCUUUAGUUUCGUUAUUUCCAAAUUGUAUUUGUAUAUUUGAAGUGGCUUUCGGAAGGUGCAGGUAUAUGCACGAACAUAUGAAGCUUGUGUUCAUGCAAAGUAAUGAUUGCUCCACAGCAAGGAUCUGUCGAACGAUAACAGUGCGUGGGAGAUGGAAAAUCAUGUGUUAUUGAAUAUCUGCUGGAUGGUAAUGGCAUAGCGAAGGUCUCAAUUAGGUGCGGUUUUUAUGGCUUGACAUGUAUGUACUACGUUUUGAUAUGGAACGAGGGCUGAGGUUAAAUGUAGGAUGUACACACUUGGCUAUGGGACGAAUUUACUCAUCACCUCGUUAAUUGGCUGAAGCUUUCAGUGCGAAACAUCAAUUUCAUGUGCUGGAAGGCAAAUUAUUAGCUCGACAGCAUUCAACUCACUGCCAACUUGUUUAUUCAAUAUGUUCCUGAAAACUGCGGAGAUUAAACCAAUAUUCUGUAUCUACCUACGUAUGCGUUCUAACGAGCGCUGUCUAAAUAAUUUUCCAGCGAACGCUCUCGUUGAGUUGUUCAAAACUAAAUUAUUUUAUGUAUCCAAAUGCGCUCUACGCUCCACUUAAUUUCAUUCGUAAGCCGCUUUUCCGGUGUUUCGGGUAAAUCAACACAUUUCCCAAAACAUUUUUCAUUGCUACAGGCUGCGUGAAAUCAUCGAAAGGAUCUUUAAGCCCAGCUACGGAUUAGUUGUUAUAUUUCACAGGAAAAGUGAGCGAAUUUGUCAGAUGUCGCUCACAUCACAGCCACCAAUUAGAAGGAAAUCCACAAAAUGAAGAAUAUUCCAUUUUUCCUUUCAAAUCCUUUCCACAA